GGAGGAGCAUCGCGGCCCGGUGGCUCGCACGGUCUUCAAAACCGCUGAGGCGCGUUAAACGUGCCUGGUGGGUUCGACUCCCACGCUCUUCCGCCA
rnacentral:tRNA from 2 species